UACGGAGGGGGCGAGCGUUAUUCGGAAUUAUUGGGCGUAAAGGGCGCGUAGGCGGCCCGGUAAGUCAAAGGUGAAAUCCCUCGGCUCAACUGAGGAACUGCCUUUGAAACUGUCGGGCUUGAGGCCGGGAGAGGGUAGUGGAAUUCCCAGUGUAGCGGUGAAAUGCGUAGAUAUUGGGAGGAACACCAGUGGCGAAGGCGGCUACCUGGACCGGUACUGACGCUGAUGCGCGAAAGCGUGGGUAGCAAACAGG
rnacentral:rRNA from 1 species